CACGUAGGGACCAAGCGUUGUCCGGAUUCAUUGGGCGUAAAGAGCUCGUAGGCGGUUCGAUAAGUCGGGUGUGCAACCUCCAGGCUCAACCUGGAGACGCCACCCGAUACUGUCGUGACUAGAGUCCAGUAGGGGAGCGUGGAAUUCCUGGUGUAGCGGUGAAAUGCGUAGAGAUCGGCAGGAACACCCAGGGGGAAACCAGUCGACUGGGCAUCUACUGACGCUGAGGUGCGAGAGCGUGGGGAGCGAACCGG
rnacentral:rRNA from 1 species